UGGGGAAUAUUGGGCAAUGGGCGCAAGCCUGACCCAGCAAUGCCGCGUGAAGGAAGAAGGCUUUCGGGUUGUAAACUUCUUUGACAGGGGAAGAGACGAAGACGGUACCCUGAAAACAAGCCACGGCUAACUACGUGCCAGCAGCCGCGGUAAUACGUAGGUGGCGAGCGUUGUCCGGAUUUACUGGGUGUAAAGGGCGUGUAGCCGGGCAGGCAAGUCAGAUGUGAAAUCCAUGGGCUCAACCCAUGAACUGCAUUUGAAACUGCUUGUCUUGAGUACUGGAGAGGCAGACGGAAUUCCUAG
rnacentral:rRNA from 1 species